rnacentral:lncRNA from 1 species
CCAAAUUCCUUUUCAGAAAACUUCUGUUCACAAAUCUAAAUUUAAAAGUCAAUGUACAGAGAGAAAAACAAAAAACAAAUUUAGUCAAAUUUCCAAGCCCCUUGAUUACUGGAGUAGUUUUAUGAGUGAAUAGAGAAGGCAGCGACCCGCAGGUUUGAUUUCAGGGGCUCUGGGAAGCACUCUCCAUUACCCAACCCUGCCCCAAGGUUUUCUUGCUUCCAAAAACAAAAUCACUAAAAACAUCAUCAGUAGGGGAAGAAAAAAAAAUUGUUCCUUAACUAGCCAAGCCACGUUAAGACUCGUUAAUUUGCACUGUCCAAUGGGGUAAAUGACUGACACCAAAUCUAUUAUUGAUAGCAGGUUUAAAAUAGGAGGAAGGAGGAAAGAGCAACAGAAAUUGGGAGCCAGAUGGCAGAGCAGGAAAAAUAAACACCAGAGUAGGCCUGGUAUUCAGAGAGAUAUCAGGAGCUGAAAGUCUGGGACCAGAAGAUAAACUUGAUCAACUUCACUCUUCUGUGGAGAGUGGCCUGAAUGAUUAGACUCUGAGGCCACAAUGUAACUCGACCUUGUCAAUAGGUUCUCUUGUAGUUCUCUGCCAGUACCAGGCAAGUAUAGAUGUGGCCCAAGGAAAUGUGGCUCAGAGGUCCUGAAAACAGCAGGCUGCAUUCUGAGACCCCCUGGUGGGAGUUCAUUUGUUGUACAGUGCAAUGUGGGGAUGUUUGCUUUUCAGCAUCUUCAGUGACUUGUUGGUAAAACUUUUCUCCACUAAACGGCCCCAGGAUCCUUUUGGCAAAUCCCAUUAUUAGAAAAUACUCAAGUGGUAGUCAUUUACACAUUAGUGUGAAUUAAUUUGCCAAUGUAUUUACCUCAUUCAAACUAUUCUAAGUUUGUUUUUGUUUUGUUUUGUUUUGUUUUCUAAUUGAAGAAUAAUGGACUUUGUUUCCCACCAUAGUAAUUAUUUCCUUCAAAGUCAUCAUGACUCCAACACUGGACCAUAUUCUGACCACUAGAGGAACUGAAUUAGAGUUUCACUGAUGACAACUCCAUGCUGUUUGGGAUCAGCCAGACUUGACAAAACAUGCUGACACACCAAUCACGUGUCACAACACCAGACUCACAGACAACAUUUUCAUGGACACUGAGCCACUUCUGCUUUUAUCCUGUCCUCCUCCACUUCUAGCCUUCAGACACUUGGUGCCUCCCUGAGGAUACACCAACACUUCAAGAACACAGAGUGCACCUGGAGUCGGCUGAGUAGUCCUGUGUCCUGAAAUAACUGCUCGACGUUCCCAGAGCCAGUAAAUGGGAUUUGGGACAUUUUUGUCAUGAAGUCACAAUGUGGGACUAUAAAUGUCUUGCCUUUAAGGGUAGGGUCUUCCCAUGACCCAUCCAUAACAUUUGUGAAAAUGUUGUGUGUUGUGCGUUUUGGAGAGAAGAAUUUUCAUUAUCUUCACAAAGGGAUCUGUUACCCUAAAAGAUUUAGAAUCACUCAGCUUAUUGGUAAGAUGUGCCUAUUCUUUUAGACUCCAGGUGAGGCUUGAUCUCCAGUCUCAAAAGGAAAUAUAUGAUGUCAUCAGACCCCUAGUAAGGUAUUUCUGAAUGUAUGAUAUC